CUGCCGUAUACUGGGGGAUAACACUUAGAAAUAGGUGCUAAUACCGCAUAAGCGCACAGCUUCGCAUGAAGUGGUGUGAAAAACUCUGGUGGUAUACGAUGGUUCCGCGUCUGAUUAGCUUGUUGGUGGGGUAAUGGCUCACCAAGGCGACGAUCAGUAGCCGGCCUGAGAGGGUGAACGGCCACAUUGGGACUGAGACACGGCCCAAACUCCUACGGGAGGCAGCAGUGGGGAAUAUUGCACAAUGGGGGAAACCCUGAUGCAGCGACGCCGCGUGAGUGAAGAAGUAUUUCGGUAUGUAAAGCUCUAUCAGCAGGGAAGAAAUAGCGACCUUUGGGUCGCCAGACGGUACCUGAUUAAGAAGCCCCGGCUAACUACGUGCCAGCAGCCGCGGUAAUACGUAGGGGGCAAGCGUUAUCCGGAUUUACUGGGUGUAAAGGGAGCGUAGACGGCAGCACAAGUCUGAAGUGAAAUGCCGGGGCUUGACCCCGGAACUGCUUUGGAAACUGUGCAGCUAGAGUGCAGGAGAGGUAAGUGGAAUUCCUAGUGUAGCGGUGAAAUGCGUAGAUAUUAGGAGGAACACCAGUGGCGAAGGCGGCUUACUGGACUGUAACUGACGUUGAGGCUCGAAAGCGUGGGGAGCAAACAGGAUUAGAUACCCUGGUAGUCCACGCUGUAAACGAUGA
rnacentral:rRNA from 1 species